UACAGAGAGUGCGACCGUUGCUCGGAAUUACUGGGCUUAAAGCGCACGUAGGCGGCAUUGUAAGUGUCUGGUGAAAUCCCACGGCUCACCCGUGGAACUGCCAGGCAUACUGUGAUGCUCGAGUGUGGUAGGGGAGAGCGGAACUCCUGGUGGAGCGGUGAAAUGCGUAGAUAUCAGGAGGAACACCGGUGGCGAAGGCGGCUCUCUGGUCCACAACUGACGCUGAGGUGCGAAAGCUAGGGGAGCAAACGGG
rnacentral:rRNA from 1 species